rnacentral:rRNA from 1 species
AGUAGCGGCGAGCGAACGGGGAGGAGCCCAGAGCCUGAAUCAGCAUGUGUGUUAGUGGAAGCGUCUGGAAAGGCGCGCGAUACAGGGUGACAGCCCCGUACACAAAAGCGCAUGUGCUGUGAGCUCGAUGAGUAGGGCGGGACACGUGGUAUCCUGUCUGAAUAUGGGGGGACCAUCCUCCAAGGCUAAAUACUCCUGACUGACCGAUAGUGAACCAGUACCGUGAGGGAAAGGCGAAAAGAACCCCGGCGAGGGGAGUGAAAAAGAACCUGAAACCGUGUACGUACAAGCAGUGGGAGCCCCACCACUAAGCCAGUGGUGAACUCCACAUACGCAUCCUUUGCUGAGGAUACGGUUAACGGAGCGAAAGCGACGUUCAACCUCAAAAGAAGCAGAGGGGGCUUAGUGGUGGGGUGACUGCGUACCUUUUGUAUAAUGGGUCAGCGACUUAUAUUCUGUAGCAAGGUUAACCGAAUAGGGGAGCCGGAGGGAAACCGAGUCUUAACCGGGCGUUAAGUUGCAGGGUAUAGACCCGAAACCCGGUGAUCUAGCCAUGGGCAGGUUGAAGGUUGGGUAACACUAACUGGAGGACCGAACCGACUAAUGUUGAAAAAUUAGCGGAUGACCUGUGGCUGGGGGUGAAAGGCCAAUCAAACCGGGAGAUAGCUGGUUCUCCCCGAAAGCUAUUUAGGUAGCGCCUCGUGAAUUCAUCUCCGGGGGUAGAGCACUGUUUCGGCUAGGGGGCCAUCCCGGCUUACCAACCCGAUGCAAACUGCGAAUACCGGAGAAUGUUAUCACGGGAGACACACGGCGGGUGCUAACGUCCGUCGUGAAGAGGGAAACAACCCAGACCGCCAGCUAAGGUCCCAAAGUCAUGGUUAAGUGGGAAACGAUGUGGGAAGGCCCAGACAGCCAGGAUGUUGGCUUAGAAGCAGCCAUCAUUUAAAGAAAGCGUAAUAGCUCACUGGUCGAGUCGGCCUGCGCGGAAGAUGUAACGGGGCUAAACCAUG